UGGGGAAUUUUGGACAAUGGGCGAAAGCCUGAUCCAGCAAUGCCGCGUGUGUGAAGAAGGCCUUCGGGUUGUAAAGCACUUUUGCCCGGAAAGAAAUCCUUGGCUCUAAUACAGUCGGGGGAUGACGGUACCGGAAGAAUAAGCACCGGCUAACUACGUGCCAGCAGCCGCGGUAAUACGUAGGGUGCAAGCGUUAAUCGGAAUUACUGGGCGUAAAGCGUGCGCAGGCGGUUUGCUAAGACCGAUGUGAAAUCCCCGGGCUCAACCUGGGAACUGCAUUGGUGACUGGCAGGCUAGAGUAUGGCAGAGGGGGGUAGAAUUCCACGUGUAGCAGUGAAAUGCGUAGAGAUGUGGAGGAAUACCGAUGGCGAAGGCAGCCCCCAUGGGCCAAUACUGACGCUCAUGCACGAAAGCGUAGUCAAGCAAGCAGUUAGGAUAACCCUGGUAGUCCACGCCCUAAACGAUGUNAACUAGUUGUUGGGGAUUCAUUUCCUUAGUAACGUAGCUAACGCGUGAAGUUGACCGCCU
rnacentral:rRNA from 1 species